rnacentral:rRNA from 1 species
UACAUGUGGGGCAAGCGUUGUUCGGAAUUACUGGGCAUAAAGGGUGCGUAGGUGGUCUGUUAAGUCAGUGGUGAAAUCCCGCGGCCCAACCGUGGAACUGCCAUCGAUACUGGCGGACUUGAGUGCGUGAGGGGUUACCGGAACGAGCAGUGUAGCGGUGAAAUGCGUAGAUAUUGCUCGGAAGGCCAGAGGCGAAGGCGGGUAACUGGCACGCAACUGACGCUGAGGCGCGAAAGCUAGGGGAGCAAACAGG